GCGCCCGUAGCUCAGUUGGAUAGAGCGGCGGACUUCUAAUCCGCAGGUCGAAGGUUCGAAUCCUUCCGGGCGUGCCA
rnacentral:tRNA from 1 species